GACGAACGCUGGCGGCGGGCUUAACACAUGCAAGUCGAACGGAAAGGCCCUGCUUUUGUGGGGUGCUCGAGUGGCGAACGGGGGAGUAACACGUGAGUAACCUGCCCUUGACUUUGGGAUAACUUCAGGAAACUGGGGCUAAUACCGGAUAGGAGCUCCUGCUGCAUGGUGGGGGUUGGAAAGUUUCGGCGGUUGGGGCUGGACUCGCGGCUUAUCAGCUUGUUGGUGGGGUAGUGGCUUACCAAGGCUUUGACGGGUAGCCGGCCUGGGAGGGUGACCGGCCUCCUUGCGCCUGAGAGACGCACCAGUCUCCUAUGGGAGGCAGCAGUGGGGAACAUUGCACAAUGGGAGCAAGCCUGAUGCAGAGACGCCGCGUGCGUGAUGACGGCCUGCGGGUUGUAAACCGCUGUCGCCUGUGACGAAGCGUGAGUGACGGUAAUGAGUAAAGAAGCACCGGCUAACUACGUG
rnacentral:rRNA from 1 species